rnacentral:misc_RNA from 1 species
GAGUUCCCUUAUAAGUCCAAGGUGAUUUUGUUGUUUCAGAAGAUCGAAGGUGUGGAGGUAUGCCUAUUUGGCAUGUAUGUCCAAGAAUUUGGAUCGGAAUGUCAAUUUCCAAAUCAGCGCCGUGUCUAUCUGUCUUAUCUGGAUUCUGUGAAGUAUUUUAGACCUGAGAUUAAAGCAGUGACAGGGGAGGCUCUCCGUACAUUUGUUUACCAUGAAAUUUUGAUUGGAUACCUUGAAUACUGCAAGAAGAGAGGUUUUACAAGC